UACGUAGGGGGCAAGCGUUAUCCGGAUUUACUGGGUGUAAAGGGAGCGUAGACGGCCAGACAAGUCUGAAGUGAAAAUCCAGCGCUUAACGUUGGAAGUGCUUUGGAAACUGCCGGGCUAGAGUGCAGGAGGGGCAGGCGGAAUUCCUAGUGUAGCGGUGAAAUGCGUAGAUAUUAGGAGGAACACCAGUGGCGAAGGCGGCCUGCUGGACGAUGACUGACGUUGAGGCUCGAAAGCGUGGGGAGCAAACAGG
rnacentral:rRNA from 1 species